rnacentral:rRNA from 1 species
GAUGAACGCUGGCGGCGUGCUUAACACAUGCAAGUCGAACGAAGCACUUUAUUUGAUUUCCUUCGGGACUGAUUAUUUUGUGACUGAGUGGCGGACGGGUGAGUAACGCGUGGGUAACCUGCCUUGUACAGGGGAUAACAGUUGGAAACGACUGCUAAUACCGCAUAAGCGCACAGGAUUGCAUGAUCCAGUGUGAAAAACUCCGGUGGUAUAAGAUGGACCCGCGUCUGAUUAGCUAGUUGUGGGGUAACGGCCUACCAAGGCGACGAUCAGUAGCCGACCUGAGAGGGUGACCGGCACAUUGGGACUGAGACACGGCCAAACUCCUACGGGAGGCAGCAUGGGGAAGUAUUGCACAAUAGGGGAAA